rnacentral:rRNA from 1 species
GCUCGGACAGUUUGGGCCAUAGUUCAAGUAGCUUCGAAUCUAUACCCACCACGUAGUGCACGGAAUAUGUUCAGCAACUGGUUGCGGGGUAUUGAUAAACAAUUUUCUGCACAUAUUCUUGUGGGAGCGACGGCCUUAUGCCGGGCACUGUGGCUUACCAGGAAUGAUGUGAUUUUUAAUAACAAAUGUGUCUCAUCUCCUAUGCAGGUUAUUCAUGUCUGUACACGAUGGCUCCGUACUUGGUCUAUCUUGCAGAGGCCGGAGGACAGAAACCUUUUUAUGAUGGCGUCUACACGGCUGGAGCGUACGGCCAGGGAGGUUUUCUACCCCCACUAG